GGUAGAUUUCGUGCCAGCCACCGCCGGUCAUACGAAAGACCCCAAGUUAAUAUUCUACCGGCGUCAAGAGUGCUUAAAUAUUUAUCAAAUAGAGCUAAGACUAGUCUUCGCUGUAAAAAGCCAAAGCCAAAGUAAAAAUCAAUAACGAAAGUAACUCUAAUUUUUGUAGCACUAAAGCUAUUACCUAAACUGGGAUUAGAUACCCCACUAUAAUUAGCCAUAAACAUAAGUAGUUCAUAACAUUACUACUCGCCAGAGAACUACAAGCCACCGCUUAAAACUCAAAGGACUUGGCGGUGCUUUAUAUCCACCUAGAGGAGCCUGUUCCAUAACCGAUGAUCCCCGAUUUACCUCACCACUCCUUGCUAAUUCAGCCUAUAUACCGCCAUCUUCAGUUAACCCUAAAAAGGAAAUAAAGUAAGCCUAAUCAGUAUUACUAAAGAAGUUAGGUCAAGGUGUAGCCCAUGGAGUGGAGCGAAAUGGGCUACAUUUUCUAUUACUAGAACAUUACGAAACUGUACGUGAAAUCCGUAGAAUAAAGGAGGAUUUAGUAGUAAAUUAAAACUAGAGUGUUUAAUUGAAUAGAGCAAUGAAGCACGCACACACCGCCCGUCACCCUCCUCAAUUUCUCAACAAUUAAAAGUACAUAACACUAAUUACAAAAGAUUGAGAGGAGACAAGUCGUAACAAGGUAAGUGUACUGGAAAGUGCACUUGGAAAAAUC
rnacentral:ncRNA from 1 species